rnacentral:rRNA from 1 species
CCUACGGGGGGCAGCAGUGAGGAAUAUUGGUCAAUUGACGAGAGUCUGAACCAGCCAAGUAGCGUGAAGGAUGACUGCCCUAUGGGUUGUAAACUUCUUUUAUAUGGGAAUAAAACGUUCCACGUGUGGGAUUUUGUAUGUACCAUAUGAAUAAGGAUCGGCUAACUCCGUGCCAGCAGCCGCGGUAAUACGGAGGAUCCGAGCGUUAUCCGGAUUUAUUGGGUUUAAAGGGAGCGUAGGUGGAUUGUUAAGUCAGUUGUGAAAGUUUGCGGCUCAACCGUAAAAUUGCAGUUGAAACUGGCAGUCUUGAGUACAGUAGAGGUGGGCGGAAUUCGUGGUGUAGCGGUGAAAUGCUUAGAUAUCACGAAGAACUCCGAUUGCGAAGGCAGUUCACUGGACUGCAACUGACACUGAGGCUCGAAAGUGUGGGUAUCAAACAGGAUUAGAUACCCCAGUAGUC